UUUCAUGACCCCGUUACAUGUUCGGAGCAGCAGACCCCUGCCGGUCAGCAAUUACGGUUG
rnacentral:misc_RNA from 1 species